rnacentral:rRNA from 1 species
UACGUAGGGGGCAAGCGUUGUCCGGAAUCAUUGGGCGUAAAGAGCGUGUAGGCGGUUCGGUAAGUCGGCUGUGAAAGUCCAGGGCUCAACCCUGGGAUGCCGGUCGAUACUGCCGGACUAGAGUUCGGAAGAGGCGAGUGGAAUUCCCGGUGUAGCGGUGAAAUGCGCAGAUAUCGGCAGGAACACCUAUGGCGAAGGCAGCUCGCUGGGACGUUACUGACGCUGAGGCGCGAAAGCGUGGGGAGCAAACAGG